rnacentral:rRNA from 1 species
UACGGAGGGGGUUAGCGUUGUUCGGAAUUACUGGGCGUAAAGCGCGCGUAGGCGGAUUGGAAAGUUGGGGGUGAAAUCCCAGGGCUCAACCCUGGAACUGCCUCCAAAACUAUCAGUCUGGAGUUCGAGAGAGGUGAGUGGAAUUCCGAGUGUAGAGGUGAAAUUCGUAGAUAUUCGGAGGAACACCAGUGGCGAAGGCGGCUCACUGGCUCGAUACUGACGCUGAGGUGCGAAAGCGUGGGGAGCAAACAGG